GGACUCUCACUGAUGCCUCUUCUGUUGAGGAAUCUCCAAUGCAGUCUUCAUGCACAGACACUCUCUCUGUGUCAUCACGUUCAUCGGACAGUGAUCUUUCGUUCAUGUCCCCUAAACGAAGAUGCAUUGAUGACACCUUGAUGAUGUCCCCAAGAAGAGAUUCAAGUGAUGACAUUUCCUUACAAGCCAAAGAGCUUGUCAAAACACUCCUGGAUGCUAAGCCAGGAGGAGAGAAGAUACUCAAAGAAUACACACAAACAGGGGAGGUUAAAGACCCAUUA